rnacentral:rRNA from 1 species
CACGUAGGGCGCAAGCGUUGUCCGGAAUUAUUGGGCGUAAAGAGCUCGUAGGCGGUUUGUCGCGUCGGGAGUGAAAACACGGGGCUUAACCCCGUGCCUGCUUCCGAUACGGGCAGACUAGAGGUAUGCAGGGGAGAACGGAAUUCCUGGUGUAGCGGUGAAAUGCGCAGAUAUCAGGAGGAACACCGAUGGCGAAGGCAGGUCUCUGGGCAUCUACUGACGCUGAGGUGCGAAAGCGUGGGGAGCAAACAGG